rnacentral:rRNA from 1 species
UACAGAGACUGCAAGCGUUAUUCGGAUUCACUGGGCGUAAAGGGUGCGCAGGCGGCCGUGUGUGUGAGGCGUGAAAGCCCGGGGCUUAACCCCGGAAUUGCACCUCAAACUACAUGGCUAGAGCAUUGGAGAGGGUAGCAGAAUUCAUGGUGUAGCAGUGAAAUGCGUAGAGAUCGGAAAGAACACCAGUGGCGAAGGCGGCGACCUGGGUCUAAACUGACACUGAGGUGCGAAAGCGUGGGGAGCAAACAGG